rnacentral:rRNA from 1 species
AUUGAACGCUGGCGGAAUGCUUUACGCAUGCAAGUCGAACGGCAGCACGGACUUCGGUCUGGUGGCGAGUGGCGAACGGGUGAGUAACAUAUCGGAACGUAUCCAAUAAUGGGGGAUAACGAGUCGAAAGAUUCGCUAAUACCGCAUACGCCCUACGGGGGAAAGCUGGGGACCUUCGGGCCUGGCGUUAAUGGAGCGGCCGAUAUCUGAUUAGCUAGUUGGUGAGGUAAAGGCUCACCAAGGCGACGAUCAGUAGCUGGUCUGAGAGGACGACCAGCCACACGGGAACUGAGUCACGGUCCAGACUCCUACGGGAGGCAGCAGUGGGGAAUUUUGGACAAUGGGCGCAAGCCUGAUCCAGCCAUUCCGCGUGAGUGAAGAAGGCCUUCGGGUUGUAAAGCUCUUUCGCAAGGGAAGAAAACUUAGCCACUAACAUUGGUUGAGGUUGACGGUACCUUGAUAAGAAGCACCGGCUAACUACGUGCCAGCAGCCGCGGUAA